GCUCAGAACUUAAAGGAAGUUGACGGGGCCGCACAAGCGGAGGAGCAUGUGGUUUAAUUCGAUGAUACGCGAGGAACCUUACCUGGGCUCGAACGUAAGAUGACUGUAGGUGAAAGCUUACAUCUCUUCGGAGCAUUUUACGAGGUGCUGCAUGGUUGUCGUCAGCUCGUGCCGUGAGGUGUCGGGUUAAGUCCCAUAACGAGCGCAACCCCUACCUUUAGUUGCCAUCAGGUUAAGCUGGGGACUCUAAAGGAACUGCCUACGCAAGUAGUGAGGAAGGCGGGGAUGACGUCAAAUCAGCACGGCCCUUACGUCCAGGGCUACACACGUGCUACAAUGGCCGAUACAGAGGGCAGCUACCUGGUGACAGGAUGCAAAUCUCCAAAGUCGGUCUCAGUUCGGAUCGGAGUCUGCAACCCGACUCCGUGAAGUUGGAUUCGCUAGUAAUCGCGCAUCAGCCAUGGCGCGGUGAAUACGUUCCCGGGCCUU
rnacentral:rRNA from 1 species